GGAGAGUGCUGCAAAUGAAUGGUCACAGCAACAUCAAUAUGCAAAUAUGCCUUUUGCUUACUAUCCACAGAGCAGUUUUGGUCCUUUAGGAUAUCCUGGUGCUAACAUGCCUGUUGGAGAUGGUUCCCGGAGUAACCUUAGUACUUCAGAUACUCAGCUCGAGGCCCAUAGGAUAUUCUUACAGCAGCAGUGUGAGGCUCUGCAAAACCAGCUCAAGCUUCUACAGAGUUCAAAGACACAGAAAGCAGCAGAUGGUGCAAAAGUUUCUGAAAGCAAGGGAAAAGCAAUUUCAUUAGAGAAUGCUCAAAAUGGACAGGCUGAAGGUGCAGAUUUUUAAGGAGUGAUCAUCUGUAUAUAAAGUGC
rnacentral:misc_RNA from 1 species